rnacentral:rRNA from 1 species
UACGUAGGGUGCAAGCGUUAAUCGGAAUUACUGGGCGUAAAGCGUGCGCAGGCGGUUUUUGUAAGUCUGUCGUGAAAUCCCCGGGGCUCAACCUGGGAAUUGCGAUGGAGACUGCAAGGCUAGAAUCUGGCAGAGGGGGGUAGAAUUCCACGUGUAGCAGUGAAAUGCGUAGAGAUGUGGAGGAACACCGAUGGCGAAGGCACCCCCUGGGUCAAGAUUGACGCUCCAUGACACG